rnacentral:rRNA from 1 species
UGGGGAAUAUUGGACAAUGGGCGAAAGCCUGAUCCAGCCAUGCCGCGUGUGUGAAGAAGGUCUUCGGAUUGUAAAGCACUUUAAGUGGGGAGGAAGGGCAGUAAGCGAAUACCUUGCUGUUUUGACGUUACCGACAGAAUAAGCACCGGCUAACUCUGUGCCAGCAGCCGCGGUAAUACAGAGGGUGCAAGCGUUAAUCGGAAUUACUGGGCGUAAAGCGCGCGUAGGUGGUUCGUUAAGUUGAAUGUGAAAGCCCCGGGCUCAACCUGGGAACUGCAUCCAAAACUGGCGAGCUAGAGUAGGGCAGAGGGUGGUGGAAUUUCCUGUGUAGCGGUGAAAUGCGUAGAUAUAGGAAGGAACACCAGUGGAGAAGGCGACCACCUGGGCUCAUACUGACACUGAGGUGCGAAAGCGUGGGGAGCAAACAGG